AUCAGCAUGGUUUAAUGGUUUGAGUGUUGGACUAUGACUAUGAAGACUUGGGUUCGAUUCCCAACUCAGCCA